GAGACAGGUGCUGCACGGCUGUCGUCAGCUCGUGUCGUGAGAUGUUGGGUUAAGUCCCGCAACGAGCGCAACCCACGUAUUUAGUUGCUAACGGUUCGGCCGAGCACUCUAAAUAGACUGCCUUCGUAAGGAGGAGGAAGGUGUGGACGACGUCAAGUCAUCAUGGCCCUUAUGCCCAGGGCGACACACGUGCUACAAUGGCAUAUACAAUGAGACGCAAUACCGCGAGGUGGAGCAAAUCUAUAAAAUAUGUCCCAGUUCGGAUUGUUCUCUGCAACUCGAGAGCAUGAAGCCGGAAUCGCUAGUAAUCGUAGAUCAGCCAUGCUACGGUGAAUACGUUCCCGGGUCUUGUACUCACCGCCCGUCACACCAUGGGAGUUGAUUUCACUCGAAGCCGGAAUACUAAACUAGUUACCGUCCACAGUGGAAUCAGCGACUGGGGUGAAGUCGUAACAAGGUAACCGUAGGAGAACCUGCGGUUGGAUCACCUCCUUUCUAG
rnacentral:rRNA from 2 species